AAAUAAAUCAUUAUUAUAUAACUAAAUAUUCGGCAUGUGAGUUUCGAUGCAAAUUCAAAUAAAAUAAAGGUCGUGAUAUGUAUUGUAUGUACACAAAAAAUAUAUAUAUUAUAUAAAAUAAAGUUCGUGAUUAACACUAAAAUAAAAAAGGUAGUGAUGGGGUUGCCGUGAACUUGAUGUUGAACAAAAUCUGUGAUAGAGAACCAAAGCAAAGCAAAGCAAAAAGAAAGUUUAUGAGUUGUCCUACAUAGUAGUGGUUAACGUCCUCUCUAUAUUCAUAAUUCUUUCUAAUUAUUCCAUUUAAAGAGAUAAUAUCAUAAUAAAACCUAAAAAUAAUUAAUGAUGGGUUAUUAUCUAUUUUUUUGUACAUAGCAAAGAUCAUAACUCCAUUAGGUUCAAAAAGAUCUCAAUACUCAUUAAUCCCUAAUAAAUGCACUUGUUGAUCCCUUGUUAAAGAGGUGUUUGCAUGUCCUCGUGAGCUUAACUC
rnacentral:lncRNA from 1 species